rnacentral:ncRNA from 1 species
ACGACAAAAGCAAAAUCAUAGAGAUAUGGUGACGCAAAACUAUAGGGUCUUAUGAAUUAUCUAUAAGAUAGCCAGCUGCCAA